rnacentral:rRNA from 1 species
GACGAACGCUGGCGGCGUGCUUAACACAUGCAAGUCGAACGGAAAGGCCCUGCUUUUGUGGGGUGCUCGAGUGGCGAACGGGUGAGUAACACGUGAGUAACCUGCCCUUGACUUUGGGAUAACUUCAGGAAACUGGGGCUAAUACCGGAUAGGAGCUCCUGCUGCAUGGGGGGGGUUGGAAAGUUUCGGCGGUUGGGGAUGGACUCGCGGCUUAUCAGCUUGUUGGUGGGGUAGUGGCUUACCAAGGCUUUGACGGGUAGCCGGCCUGAGAGGGUGACCGGCCACAUUGGGACUGCGAUACGGCCCAGACUCCUACGGGAGGCAGCAGUGGGGAAUAUUGCACAAUGGGCGGACGCCUGAUGCAGCAACGCCGCGUGCGUGAUGACGGCCUUCGGGUUGUAAACCGCUUUCGCCUGUGACGAAGCGUGAGUGACGGUAAUGGGUAAAGAAGCACCGGCUAACUACGUG